CCUGGGCCACCGCAGUGGAGCGUGCGAACUUAACCACUUGGCCAUGGAGCUGGCCCUCACUCUUUAAAUUCUAAGAAUGUCCUUCUUCUCUGCUUCUUCUCUGUGGGCAGACACUUGGACAUUAGGAUACAUGCAAGGUAUUAGUGUUUUUCAUGUUAUUGUGGAUUUUAAUCUGGUUUUAAAACUCUGGAACACUACUGAUGUUUGCAAACAUUUCUGAAACUAAACUUUUUAUUAACUAUAUAUUUCAUAGGUACCUAUUGUAAUAGAAGCCUCCAGCAGAAAAUUUCUUUUCCUUUACUUUUAUUUUUGUUACCCUAUUGUACUUUGGAAAUGUCCUGCUGUAUGUAGGAAACCCCUCUAUUCUUACCUAAUUAUUGGUGCUGUUGAAGGAAAAUACGCUUUACCUUCUCUUCCGUUCUCUUUAAGGAAAGCCUAGCCACCACCACGCACCCUGUUGCCCUUAUGGAAAGGGAAGCUGCUAGGCAGCUCCCAGCUUUCCGGAGAGGGGGCUCACUGGUGAAUGACAAGCAUCCCUGGUGUUUGUAGACCCCUGAAAUUAGGCUCUGGACUUGGAGUAUGUGAGGCCCAAAGCCCAAUCCUACAGGCCAGGGCCACUGGGGAUCUCUAGUUGGGUAUGCCUGGGGCUGUGAGAAUGUGUCUCUUCUAUUUUUGUCUCCUCUGCUCCUUUCCCACCUUUUCUCCCCCAAGGUAACAGAAAUAGCAAUGUUCCAACGUCCAGGGUCACAGGAGUCCAGAGUGGCCAAGGUUCCUCCAGGGCAGGCACAAAGGUCCCAGGUCUCUGUCUCCAGGCAUGCGGCUGGGACCUGAGCCACAUCCAAAUACACCUCAGCAUGCAGGGUCUGCCCUGGCUGCCACCUGGCCCCUCUGAGGCCCAACCAUUCGUCCGGGUCACUGGGGAAGAACCCUAGGGAACAUGCUGGCCUUCUCCAGGCAGCAGCUUGGCAAGGGCCCAGCUUGGGGCCCUCCCUGGGGAGCCAGCCCUCACCCAGCCCGGCUGAGUCCUCUGACGCAGGCGCUCCUCAGCCGCACCAGGCAGAGCCUCUGGGGCUGGCCCUGCAGUGCCCCAGCUGCAGGUUCUCUCCUCCCUGUUCCCUCUCGCCUCUUCCCACACCUCCCGCCCAGGAUUCCCGAGGACUUUGUCAGGGUGCCUCAUGCCAACGUCACACCUACCUUGGCUCAGAGAGCGUGAGACAGUGUGCAUGCCACCCAGGGGCCGCUCCUUCCAGCUCCCAGCUUGACAGCAGGGCAACAGCUUAAUAGCACUCACCUUCCUUCCCUCAACACUGGCUGGGGAGGUUUUCCUUCAUCUUUCAUUGUCUUCUUCCAUCUAUUAGGAAGCACAGUGGUUAAGCUCUCCGUCUCAGACUGAAAUUGCUGGGUUCAAAUCCCGGCUGUCCCACCUACUGGGUUGAAUCCCUUAACCUCUCUGUGCCUCAGUUUGCUCUCUGUGAAAGGGGGCCAAUAAUCAUCCCUGUCUCAUAAGGCUGUUGUGAGGAUUAAAUGAGGCAAUGCAUGUAAGGAGCUUAGAAAAAUUUCUGGCACGUAGCGAAGGCUUACUAAAUGUUAUUUGUUGGCUAACAUCUAGAUUUGCCAGGUGUCCUCUGUGGUCACCACCAUUUGGUCCCUACAGUGGGCAGCACACAAUUCCAGGCACUAAAGGGGAGUGUGAGAAAUUGAAGCCGUGGUCCUCCUUCUCUGCCCUUGGGUCCCCUUGGGGAAACCCUGAAAGCACCCGCGUCGUAGAUUUUUGUGGUGCUUCAUGGCCACCUUCUCAUAAAUCCCUUGAAGGCUCUGCCUGUGUUUGGAUAACAUCUCACGUUUGAAGUCCAUGCCUCCCCAAGGGAUGAGCCAGAACUCAAUUUCCCAGCCUCCCCUGCAGUGGUAAACAGGUACAUGACCCAGGUUGCACCAAUCUGAUGCAUUCAUGUGAGAUCCUGAGGAAGCAGAAGACUUCAGGUUCCUCAAGAGCAAGUGACUUUCCCACCCUUCUCUAUAGAGAGUGUUAUGGGUUGAGUUGUGUCCACCCCCCAAGAAAAGGCAUGCUGGAGUCCUACCCUCCUGCCCCCGCCCCCGCCACCGCGUACCUCAGAAUGUGACCUCUUUUGGAGAUAGAGUCUUUUCAGAGAUAAACAAGUUAAUGAGGUCGUUAGGGUGGGCUCUAGUCCAAGAUGAUUAAGUGUCCUUAUAAAAAGUGGAAGUUUGGACACAGACACACACACAGGGAGAACACCAUGCACAGAUGAAGGCAGAGACUGCAGUGAUGCAUCUGCAAGCCGAGGAACGCUAAAGAUCGCCAGCAACCACCAGAAGCCAGGAGAGGGAACGGAACAGAUUCUCCCUCCCAGCCCUCACAGCCUCUCCAAAGGAACCAACCCUGCCCAGAUCUUGAUCUUGGAUAUCCAGCCUCUAGAACUGUGAGAAAACACAUUUCUGCUGUUUAACCCACCCAGUUUGUGGUACUUUGUUACAGCCACCCUGGGAGAUGAAUACAGAGGGGACGCCCCUGUGCUUUUGUGUCAAAUGUAAGCUCCUUGAGAGCAGGAAAUUUUGUCUGUUUCAUUUACUGGUACUAAAUGGUACCCAUGAAAUAUCUGUUCAAUAAAGGAGUGUCUUCUUCAGAGUUCACAGCACAGGACACACAGGACAAAGAAAGCAAGACUGUAUACUUUUCAUCCAUUGCCACCCACCCUAGCUGUGGUCAGGGAGGGACCAGACCUGCCAUUUCCCCUGCAGAUGGCUGCAGAGCCCACCUGAGGCAACAGGGCCUCAGGAGCUGUGUGGGCAGCAUGUUCUGGUAGAUGGACCUGCAGCCUUGUGGCUUUCAGGCCUGGCCUGAUUGCUGAAGAGAUGUUAGACACCCUACUCCAACUCUCAUUUUAAAACAAAGCGCAUGAGCCCCAGGGAGGGUUUAAGUAACUCCCUGACCAGUCCCUUUCCACGGCACGGCAUGGUGCGGUGCCCCCAGAUGAACCUCAGGAUCCACCAAAAGACACAUCAGCAUGGACCAUUUCAAGAUACCUUCCAUGCUAUUUUGCCUAACCAAAGGUUUCUUCCUCUUUAUUUUAUUUUAUUUUUUUCAUGCACACGGAGGAGGCACUUCAUGGCAGGGAGAACUUCCGAGUUUUGAAGAGAAAUGACAGCUAUGUCUGUGUGCUGAAUUUCACCUACUGAUGAGACGGCUGAUUGGGCGGCUGUUGGGCCCUCUCCAAGCAUGCUACAACCGCCCUGGGUCUCGACAAGUCUCAGCGCCGCAGGGCUGGAAGGGCCUUCCUGGCCAACCCCUGCCCCGAGCCAGGACACACCUUUAAGUGGACAACUUUCCACUGUCCUCCAAUAUUGCUCCCCUACGCCAGUCAACAAAAGAAACCUCAAGAUUGUGAGUUAAAGGUAAUCACAAUAGUAGUAUAAUUACUAUUCUCAACGAACUGCACAUGGAAUACCCACUUGUUAAUGAAGCAAACGUUUCAUUGUGGACUAACGUCCUCCCGCAACUCCUUUCUUAAUCCUCAACUGGUGUAGAGGCUGGGAAUGUUAACUUAUUUUAAUUAUUAGCCUAGCGUAAAUUGAGAAACACAUUCUGCUCUUACUGAAUCAGAAAUAAAAUACAAUUAUGACUUUUCUUUCCUUUUGAAUGUUGUGUUUUGCAGCUUCCCAUCUUAGGUACAACCAAAAAUCAACUUUAUAAAAAGAAUAACUUCUUUGUUUUUUUGGCUUUAUUUUUCAAAGCACAGUGUAGGCUGAGAGGGCAUAAAGGACUAGUGUGACAAACCACAUUGGAUUACUGACAAGUGGGUUGUCCACAGCCUCUAAGGCAGGGGGAAUUCAAACUCAAAGGUGCAGAGCCUGUAAGAAUGCAAAUUCCUGGGCCCUGGGCCCAGGGAUCCUGAUUUAGCAGGUCUGGGGUGGGGCCUAAAAUUCUGCAUUUUUAAAUGAGCAUCAUGGGUAAUUCUGACACAAGUAGCUACCCAACCACAUUCUGAGCUGCAUCCAGAGGGGUUAUGGCUGUGGCUCAUAAGCCCAGGAAUCAGCAGGACACCCCGCAGCUGCUGCUCUCCUCCCAGCCAGACCUUCCCUGGAAUGUAUAUUCCAGGAAAAUAUCUAUAUAUCUAUUUUUAAAUAAUGUUAGGUUUUUUCUCCUUGGUUAUAAAGCUAAUGCAGACAACUUAUAUGAUGCCAUAAUAAAAAAAAAAUAACAAAAUCACUCACAAUCCUGCCACAAGAUGGGGGGAAACUGUUAACAUUAUGCUGUUCUUUUCUUCCUUGUAUAUUUCUUAUAAAGUUGACACCAUACUAAAUAUAUCAUUUUAUUUUAUUUUUC